UAGCAUAAUCAUUAGUUUUUUAAUUGAAGACUGGAAUGAAAGGUUUAAUAAGAAAUAUUCUUUAUUUAUAAAAAAUUAUUGAAUUUGUUUUUUUAGUAAAAAAACUAAAAUUAAAAAAAAAGACGAUAAGACCCUAUAAAGCUUUAUAAAAAUAAAAUUAGAUUUUAUUUGGAAUAUUUUUAUUUUUAAUUUUUAUUUAUUAAAUUGGGGUGAUUUUAAGAUUUAAUAAACUCUUAAAAAAUUUUUUAAUUAUAUUUAAUUUUAAUUUUGAUCUUAAUAAUUUUUUAGAUUAAAAAAUUAAGUUACUUUAGGGAUAACAGCGUAAUUUUUUUAAAGAGUUCAAAUCGAUAAAAAAGAUUGCGACCUCGAUGUUGAAUUAAGAAAAAUUUUGGGUGUAGAAGUUCAAAUUUU
rnacentral:rRNA from 1 species